rnacentral:lncRNA from 1 species
GUAUUCCGAAGAUUCCAUAUGUACCCAAUGCUGGAGCUCGAGACGUCUUGUGUUUCCAACACUACAAUGCAGAAGAAGGACAUGACCCCUGAGGGAAGCACUCUGGAGGACUCCAACAGCAACCUGGAUGAGAUGACAGACCUGGCCCUGCAGCUGCAGAAUAGGACUGGGGUGAAGGUGCUGUGGGUCACCUGCAAUCUGUUCGCUCACUCAAGAGUACAAGGAGAAGAUAGGGUUGAAGUGCCAGUUCCUCAUUGA